UGGGGAAUAUUGCACAAUGGGCGCAAGCCUGAUGCAGCCAUGCCGCGUGUGUGAAGAAGGCCUUAGGGUUGUAAAGCACUUUCAGCGAGGAGGAAGGGUACAGUGUUAAUAGCACUGUGCAUUGACGUUACUCGCAGAAGAAGCACCGGCUAACUCCGUGCCAGCAGCCGCGGUAAUACGGAGGGUGCAAGCGUUAAUCGGAAUUACUGGGCGUAAAGCGCACGCAGGCGGUUUGUUAAGUCAGAUGUGAAAUCCCCGAGCUUAACUUGGGAACUGCAUUUGAAACUGGCAAGCUAGAGUCUUGUAGAGGGGGGUAGAAUUCCAGGUGUAGCGGUGAAAUGCGUAGAGAUCUGGAGGAAUACCGGUGGCGAAGGCGGCCCCCUGGACAAAGACUGACGCUCAGGUGCGAAAGCGUGGGGAGCAAACAGG
rnacentral:rRNA from 1 species